GGGCUCUGUGAGCGGGCGGCUGGCCGGACUCACACUCCCGCGGGUUGGCACAGGCAUCCGGAUAGCCGAUGCUUGUGGAAGAAACCCUACGUGUGGGCCACGAGAGCUCGUUAUCCGUGAGUUAGGCUAAAUCUGCAGGGCACCAUCCUCGCUCUGCUGACUCAGACCAGAUCAAGGCGUGGGGAGUCUUCUUUUUGGCAUCGGGGCAGGAGAGAGGAUCUGGAAUUACUGGGCAUCGCGCCAUGUGAUGAUGGUGUCUCACUUGUUUUGUAUGUGUAAACGCAUAGCAGCGAGCUUUACAUCAAUAAGACGCAAAGGAGUUUCCUCACUGCGUAGGAAAAGGCUUUUCAUGUUCCACUCCACUUCAACCUUCUUCUGCAGAUACAAGUAGGAUAUACAGGUAACCAGAGCAACCAGCGGAUUCAGUGACAUCGGACACCGCCAAGGAGAAUUGACUCUUUUCUCCAAGCCACGGGAAACACAGGACGCAAUCUAGGCCUCUCAACCAUCAGCAUGCUACCCAGCAACACAGGCCCAAAGCUUGGGUUACCACCUUACCCUCUUCUCUUUGUGCAUCUCUCCAUUCAGCAGCAAGAAAGACAACUAAAGCUGUUUCAGGCCCUGAGGUGCGAUUUACUGCUUUUAGGCACCAAAGUGGCUUUUGAAAAAUUGUUAUGACACUUAAUAAAGUUAGCUGGCAGUUAAUUCCCA